rnacentral:tRNA from 1 species
GUAAUCUUAGCUCAAUUGGUAGGAUAUUACAUAUUAUAUGCAGAGGCCAGGGUUCGAACCCCAGACACUCCA